rnacentral:rRNA from 1 species
CCUAACACAUUGCCAAGUCGAACGGUAGCACAGAAGAGCUUGCUCUUCGGGUGACGAGUGGCGGACGGGUGAGUAAUGUCUGGGGAUCUGCCCGAUAGAGGGGGAUAACCACUGGAAACGGUGGCUAAUACCGCAUAACGUCGCAAGACCAAAGAGGGGGACCUUCGGGCCUCUCACUAUCGGAUGAACCCAGAUGGGAUUAGCUAGUAGGUGGGGUAACGGCUCACCUAGGCGACGAUCCCUAGCUGGUCUGAGAGGAUGACCAGCCACACUGGAACUGAGACACGGUCCAGACUCCUACGGGAGGCAGCAGUGGGGAAUAUUGCACAAUGGGCGCAAGCCUGAUGCAGCCAUGCCGCGUGUAUGAAGAAGGCCUUCGGGUUGUAAAGUACUUUCAGCGGGGAGGAAGGGAUGGAGCUUAAUACGCUCUGUCAUUGACGUUACCCGCAGAAGAAGCACCGGCUAACUCCGUGCCAGCAGCCGCGGUAAUACGGAGGGUGCAAGCGUUAAUCGGAAUUACUGGGCGUAAAGCGCACGCAGGCGGUCUGUCAAGUCGGAUGUGAAAUCCCCGGGCUCAACCCGGGAACUGCAUUCGAAACUGGCAGGCUAGAGUCUCGUAGAGGGGGGUAGAAUUCCAGGUGUAGCGGUGAAAUGCGUAGAGAUCUGGAGGAAUACCGGUGGCGAAGGCGGCCCCCUGGACGAAGACUGACGCUCAGGUGCGAAAGCGUGGGGAGCAAACAGGAUAAACCC